rnacentral:lncRNA from 1 species
AUGACAUUUAAUGCUUACUUAAUAGCCUUAUUUAUAUUGCAGACUUGCCCUGUGGCCCUGCUAGCUGGUGACCGCACUGUUACUCCCUGCAGAGCUUACAGCUGCGCUGGCUCAAAAAGCGGAUGCAAGUUUGCUGUCUCCAGGCUCCCUGGAUCAGGUUGGGGGAAACGGAAAUUGUCCUGCUCCUUUAUCAGGCAACAUCCCACCCUGGAAGUAUUGAAUGUUAGCAGUCUACAAGCAGGAACAGGAAACUUCCCUGCGCAGCGGUUCAUAGUCGGUGCAUCCUUACCACUGUUGUUUUCAGUGCCGUGAUUUUGCUCACACCUCCUGGGGCGCUGGUGAGCUGCACACGAACGCCUCGGGGCUUGUCAAGGCAACAAAGAGGAACCACAGCAGUCGCCUCCUUACUGAUCUCCCAUUUCUACUUGUGAAACUUUUCUGGAGGAAGUGGUAGAUUUUUAGCUGUCAUUUGGCGUCAUUUUCAUGGAACUCUGCAAAUAGAUUGUUGUGCCCCAUUGAUGAAGAAAUGCAGGCAAUUUUUUUUUUUUUAAGUACACAAAAUGCUGUUGCUAUAGAUCAUAUUUUGUCAAGGGAUGAUACUAAAAGAUGGUAAAAUUCAACAGUAUUCCUCUCUCUUUUUUGCCCUGUUUUCUUAAGUGUCAAAGGCAGAGGGAAAUGCAACGAUCAUUACAGGUUAGAUCAAAAUACAGGAGGGAAAUACAGUACUUACUUAAGCCCUCACGUAAGAGUGAUUAAUCUGGGUAUCUUUUUUGCAAAAAAAAUUUCAUCAGCUCAUUGGUAAUGAAAUCAGAGCAAGUGCUGUUCUGGCUGAUGCUAAACUGGCCUAGGAAGCUGCUGCCUCCAGUUGCCCACUCUUAACCCCUCGCAGUAACCUCUGCUGCAAAGCUACGCCCUGGGCAGAUCCCGACAGAACGAUCCAGUCCGACUCUUGGAUUCACUACAACAAUCUAGAAUUUUUGUUGUUCAUUAUUUUUCUUCACCACCUGGUUAGACACAUAGGAGAGCAGCCAACAAGCGGCCGAGGGUGGCCAGCAAGAGCAGGCCUGCUGCCAACCUCCAUCACCCACUUGCUUAUUUUUCACUUAACCAACCUGGAAAACAUUCCCAUCCCUGAGGGGCUGCCCAUGAAAUAGUAUGUCCUGAAAAAGCAACAUUUUCUACAUUACCAGAGUUCCUAUUUCAGCAUCAGCAGUGCUGCCCUGUGCCUGUUCCCGCUGUGCACGGGGCAGAGUACGCUACCAAAAACUGGGAAGCUGUGCAAAUAUCAGCACUUCUGCGUGUUGACAGAAUAAACAAGCCAGAAAAAGGAAGAGAAAAUGACUG